rnacentral:rRNA from 1 species
GAACGCCCUCACGGGCUUAUAACUAUUCCAAACCUCUGUGAACCGUGCCCUUCGGGGCUAUUUUACAAACAUGGUGUAAUGAACGUCAUAUAUCAUAACAAAACAAAACUUUCAACAACGGAUCUCUUGGCUCUCGCAUCGAUGAAGAACGCAGCGAAAUGCGAUAAGUAAUGUGAAUUGCAGAAUUCAGUGAAUCAUCGAAUNUUUGAACGCACCUUGCGCCCUCUGGUAUUCCGGAGGGCAUGCCUGUUUGAGUGUCAUGUAGACUCAAUCCCUCGGGUUUCCGAGGAGAUUGGACUUGGGUGUUGCCGCUCUGCCGGCUCGCCUUAAAAGACUUAGCGGGAUAGCACCGUAGUCGGCGUAAUAAGUUUCGUCGGUGAAGGUUGUGAUGACUGCUUACAAUCGCCCUCGGGCAAUUUUUGACUCUGACCUCAAAUCAGGUAGGACUACCCGCUGAACUUAAGCAUAUCAAUAAGCGGAGGAAAAAAAACUAACAAGGAUUCCCUUA